rnacentral:rRNA from 1 species
AGGAUUUGAUCCUGGUCCAGGAUGAACGCUGGCGGCGUGGAUAAGGCAUGCAAGUCGAACGCUUCUUGUGCUUGCACAAGAGGAGUGGCAGACGGGUUAGUAAUACCUUGAUACCUACCGGAGAGUUGGGCAUAGCUUAUCGAAAGAUGAGGUAAUUCCCAAUGGCUCCAAUUCUUUUCAAGAAUUGGAUAAAGAAGCAAUUCGCUCUCUGAUGGGUCUAGGUCCUAUCAGGUAGUUGGUGAGGUAAUGGCCCACCAAGCCUAUGACGGGUAGGGGAGCUGAGAGGCUGUUCCCCAACAGGGACACUGAGACACGGGUCCCACUCCUACGGGAGGCAGCAGUCGAGAAUAUUCGGCAAUGGGCGCAAGCCUGACCGAGCGACGCCGCGUGAAGGAAGAAGCCCUUCGGGGUGUAAACUUCUUUUCUUAGGGAAAAAAUUAGUGUUUUGCACUAAUUGAUGGUACCUAAGGAAUAAGGGGCUGCCAACUACGUGCCAGCAGCCGCGGUAAUACGUAGGCCCCAAGCGUUAUCCGGAUUUAUUGGGCGUAAAGGGUGCGUAGGUGGUUUAUCACAUCUUUGGUUAAAGUCCUAAGCUCAACUUAGGAAUUGCCAAGGAGAUGGAUAAACUAGAGAAUGCCAGAGGUGGCUGGAACUGCCGGUGUAGGGGUGAAAUCCGUUGAUAUCGGCAGGAACGCCAGAGGUGAAAACGAGCCACUGGGGUAUUUCUGACACUGAGGCACGAAAGUGUGGGGAGCAAAAAGGAUUAGAUACCCUUGUAGUCCACACCCUAAACGAUGCCGACUAGCUGUUUCGAGUAUCGACCCUCGGAGUGGCGAAGCUAACGCGUUAAGUCGGCCGCCUGGGAAGUACGGCCGCAAGGCUAAAACUCAAAGGAAUAGACGGGGACUCGCACAAGCGGUGGAUCAUGAGGUUUAAUUCGACACAAAACGAAGAACCUUACCAGGGCUUGAAAUGCUGGUGAAGGUUGUCCGAAAGGAUGGCCGUCUUUUCAAGGACGCCAGCACAGGUGCUGCAUGGUUAUCGUCAGCUCGUGGCUUGAGUUGUUCCCUUAAGUGGGGUAACGAGCGCAACCCCUAUCGCAUGUUAAAUCUGUCAUGCGAAACUGCCCCCGCCUAAGUUUUCAAUUCAUAAAAUUAGAAGAUUUGAAAAUUUAGGCGGGGGAGGAAGGAGGGGAUGACGUUAAAUCAGCAUGGCCUUCUGAUGUCCUGGGCGACACUCAUGAUACAAUGGCCGGAACAAAGGGUUGCCAAACCGCAAGGCGGAGCUAAUCCCAAAAAUCCGGCCCCAGUUCGGAUUGAGGGCUGCAACUCGCCCUCAUGAAGCCGGAAUCGCUAGUAAUCGCGGAUCAGCCAUGCCGCGGUGAAUACGUUCUCGAGUCCUGUACUCACCGCCCGUCACGUCAAGGGAGCCGGGAACAGCCGAAGUCUCGCCCUUUUGGCAUUAUUAUUUAGUGCUAAAAGGGCGGGAUCAAGCUGGGCUCGGUAACAGGGACGAAGUCGUAACAAGGCACCGGUAGCGGAAGCUGUCGGUG